CCAGAAAAAAACCCGGCACUCUCAAGCAACCAGCCAAAAAAAAAAAAAAUCUGUAUCUCUCUGCUGCCAUCUAGUGGGUAUUAGGGUUUAAUAGUAACUCUCAAGCAAUCAGAAACUACAUUUAUCCGGCAUCUACCAAUCCCCAUGGGUGCCGGUUAACUGAGAGUCUACUAUACAAAGGGAGAUCAUCGGAUAGCUGAUACCGAAGGUUUUUCUGUGGCUUUACAUCUGAAACCUAGUUCCAUGGCUGGACAGAUCUCCAGUACUGGCAGUAACCUUGCCAGCUAUCCAAUGAGAGUGUAUCUGCUUCAUAAAGAAGUCCAAAAGCUCAGUAUAAUUGGCCGCUUGCACUCACGGACAGGGCAACAUGGACAUUAGAACCAAAUAAAGAUAGUCCUUUUGUGCAUACUUCUCACCUCCCACUUGGUCUCCUCCAGUUUUGGACUGAGGCGUUCUGCCUGCUGCUGCUGCAGCCUCAGCUCUUCACAGUGGCCCUGUUGAAGGUCCAGUUCUUCCUGCAGCCUCUUCUUUUCCUGCUGUACUUUGUAGAGUUGCAGCUGAAGUGCUCUCUGGCUGCGCUGGGCUUGGUGCAUGACCUGCUGCAGCUUGGCCACGUACAUCUGCUUUAGCUCAUCCAGCUCUUCCAUCCAAAGACGCUGUUUGUCCUCAAACACCUACCAGAAUAAGAGAAGAUUAUGGUGGGCUCAUAAAGAUUAGGUUUCCUAAGGAACAUCACAUCCAUUUCUCUCAGGAGAUGGCAUAAAAACCACAUCUAUACAUAAAGCACUGCAGUAGCUGAGAAAGUCAUCUGCCUGAGAUUUUGCUGCCUGUUGGAAUUAGCCAGUUCCUUACAGCCAAGCUGAUUAAAGGAAUAUGAAGAGGCAAGAUUAAAUUUAGUGCUAAUUAAACUUAAAUUCUGGAAGAACAACACUUUUCCUAUAAAUUCCUUGCUGCCCAGCAUUUUAUAGAUGGCAAAACGAAACAUAUCCUGAUGAUAUCAGUACUGUGGUCGGUCUCCAAGACUGGAUGACAACACACACAUGCAUUGUUCUGAUCUCUUGAAAAACAAAACCCACAGAUAGGCAGCAACAUAGCAGCCUUCCCCAACCUGGUAUUUUCUUGAACUUCUACAAUGGGAAAUAUAACCCAUCAUAGCUGGGUCUGAGAAAGCUGUUGUAUAUUUUCCAUCUAUUAUAUUGUUCUCUCUUUUGAAUUCUCAUUUACAAAUAAAGCAUGGGUUUUAAAACAAAACA